rnacentral:lncRNA from 1 species
UUUUGGGUUAUCUUUCCUUAGAAGUGUAUGUUUUUUAGGGUUUUAACUUGUUCUUAUUUAGCAAAGCUUGGAACUUUAUUAUACAAAUUCACGGGCUAAAUCAAUGAAGAUGAUGAUGAUGAUGUUCUUAUUGUGUUCUUGAGUGCUCUUCUUUUGUUUUCUUAGAUUUCUAGAUUAUUUUGGGUUCAAUCAUCAAAUCGAUUGGUGUGUUGGAUCUGAAAUUUGUUGAGAAACAUCACUGGCAUUGUAGAUCUGGGUUUUGGGACCUAUAAUUUGAUAUCAGAUAUUAAUGUUCUUGGUUGUUUAAAAUUUUAGGGCUUUUGAAAAAGUUUCAUAGUUUUUACAAUUUCUAAGAUCUAGAUCUGAUUAUGAUGGAUUGGUUGUUGUUUCUUACUUAAAACACUUACAAAUUUGAUUUGGAAGCUUCCUAUUAAUUCAACUGAUGAGUUGAUUGUAUUUAUGGAUUGUUUUGUGUGAUUUUGGUGUUGAAUAGUUAAAAGGGGUUGUUUCAGCAAGAUCAACGACACCGGUUCUCGAAUAUGGUGACACUGACGGUUAUUGAUUUUAAAUUGAAGAAGGGUUUCCUCGAGGCACUACUAGCGACCCUCAAGCUUUAAGCCGUAAUCUGUUUGGCAUCGCAUAUCAGUGUUCACUAAUUCUGUUUGAGCGACACAGAACCAGCAACACUUAAGCUUCUGACGACACUAUUGCAUAUUCUCUUAAAAUCCCUUCAAAAUCUUCAAAUUGCUCAAAGUGAUCUUGAACUUAUUCCCACAUCUAGACUACCUACACUGAAGUCUAGUGAUGAGUUUGUUAAAUAGAAAGGAAAAAUGGAAAAAUAAAAUUACUUCACUAAUGCAUCUUUUAUCUAGACUUAACAAAAGUUAAUGUUUGAUAUGUUACAAAAUAUACAUGAAAUGUAUUUUCCUCUACGAUUUUAGCAGGUUUGCGUAUGGUUUAUUGAAAAUUCAAGAACUAAUUGGCGAUUUACGAUUUUUUUAGAUAAGUCUAGUGAAAGGAGAUAAAAAGGUAUGGAAAUAUGAAUUCGAAACCAAGAAUGAAGUUUAGAAGCGAAAGCUGAAAUAAUUUCUGAUGUUUGGAUCUGUAACAGAUUGUUAUGGAUCCAUAACAAUCUGUUAUCACUAUUAGUUAAAAGUCAAAGCCCUUCAAGAUGGUCCAUGUUCUAGAGAUUCAUGACGGAUCAUCACAUCUUACGCUGGUUAGGAAAACCCUAAAAUUCACUAUUUAAGGCGUUUUGACGGCCAAUUUUGGGAAAAUUCGACUAGAGACAAUUACUUUCAAUGGAGAUUGAAGAUUUAAAGUAGGAACUGAGAUUUGGAAGGCUUGGAUUAUAGAUCAGAGAGUUAAAAGGUUUUUCUAUGAUUGGCUUAUCAUUCUUACACCUUUUGUAUUCGAUUUCUGAGAUUGUUUUCAUAAUGUUUUUGACUUUUAAUAAGUUUCUUAUGUUUCUAAACAUCAUGAGUAGAUAACUCAUUAGCCUACCUUGGUUUGGAUGAAUGUUGUAUGAGUUGAUUGCUUUCUGGGUUUGAUUUAUCGUGUGGUAUGAUUGCUAUUGACAAAACUUGUUCAUGAUUGACUUUUAAUGGUUAUGCAUUUUGCUUUUGAUUGAGAUUCGUACUUGUCCCUGUGAAUUGAUUUGUAACAUCCUAUUUUGUGAAGAAAUAAGAUUAUAUAUAAAGUUUAUACUUCGUAUAUUGUUGAACGAGUAAGAUGGUUACUUGAAAUGUUAGAUAUUUAGAUGAAUAGUGUAACGCCUCGUAUCUUCGUAUUUCUAUUUUAAAAAUGUUCGUAUUCGUAUUCUAAUUUUAGAAACCUUACAUUCGUAUUUUAAUUUCAAUCUCACAAUUCGAGGCGUUAAUCAUAAUAAAAUUCAUAUUUUAUACAUUUGUUUUUACACAAUCGAUCACUUAAAUACGUAUUUAUACGCAAACCGACAUAAUUAUACGUAUAAAUACUUAUUCGCACAUCCUCAAUACUUGAAUUAUACUUUUAUACUUUUUAUAUAUACUCAAUUACAUAAUUUAUACUCAAGAAAUACCAAGAAAUAUACCAAUCAUCUUUCCACCUCAUCAAUCCUCUUCCACAUUUUUUAGCCAAUCAUAUUUCACCCUUUUCCACCAAUCAUCUUUUCAAUCCUCUUCCACCUUUUUUAACCAAUCAUAUUUCACCCUUUUCCACCUUCUCUACCUAUAAAUACCAACCUCCUUCUACCAUUUUCUUCACACCAUUCUUCUCUCCAUCUCUCUAAUUCUCUCAAUCUCUCUAAAUCAAGAAUUCUAAAAGUACACUAAGUGUUCUAACCAUUCUUCUCUCAACCUCUUUACUUCUCUCAAAUCGUCAAAGCAAGGAAGAGAACUCUAAGAGUUCUAAAAGAAAACACUAAGUGUUUUAUAGGAAGCUUUGAAGCUCCAAUCUCUAACUCUUCACGGAAUCACCAAAGGAAACUUUGCAAAACUGUUUUGAGAUGAUGUUGAUGAUGCAUGGGACAUAGUAUGAUGCUUAGAUACACAUUUAAAAUUUUGUAUUCUUAUUGUAUUGUCAUUCUUGUAUUUCAAGUUGUUGUAUUUGAUUCCAACCUUUGUAAUUGACUUUUAGAAAUGAAAUGAAAUUCAUUAUUUAAUUAUUGUC